rnacentral:rRNA from 1 species
AAUUAAAGAGCCGCGGUAUUUUGACCGUGCAAAGGUAGCAUAAUCAUUAGUUUUUUAAUUGUAAACUUGUAUGAAUGGUUGGACAAAAGAGAAGCUGUCUGUAUUAUAAAUAUUGAAUUUAACUUUUAAGUGAAAAGGCUUAAAUAAUUUAAAGGGACGAUAAGACCCUAUAAAACUUUAUAUAUUAAUUUAAUUUUUAUUGAAUUUUAAUAAUUUAAUUUAAUAUUUAUAUUUUAUUGGGGUGAUAAAGGUAUAAUUAAUAUUAACUGCUUAAAUUUAUAAACAAUAAUAUUUGGAUUAAGUAAAUGAUCCUUUUUAGGGAAUUUAAGACUAAGUUACUUUAGGGAUAACAGCGUAAUUUCUUUUAAGAGCUCAUAUCGAAAAAGAAGAUUGCGACCUCGAUGUUGAAUUAAAAUAUCUGUUUAGAGCAGCCUCUAAAUAAGAAGAUCUGUUCGAUCUUUAAAUUUUUACAUGAUUUGAGUUCA